CUACGGGGUGCUCCAGUGGGGAAUCUUGGACAAUGGGCGCAAGCCUGAUCCAGCCAUGCCGCGUGAGUGAUGAAGGUCUUAGGGUCGUAAAGCUCUUUCGCCAGAGAUGAUAAUGACAGUAUCUGGUAAAGAAACCCCGGCUAACUCCGUGCCAGCAGCCGCGGUAAUACGGAGGGGGUUAGCGUUGUUCGGAAUUACUGGGCGUAAAGCGCGCGUAGGCGGACUAGUCAGUCAGGGGUGAAAUCCCGGGGCUCAACCCCGGAACUGCCUUUGAUACUGCUAGUCUAGAGUUCGAGAGAGGUGAGUGGAAUUCCGAGUGUAGAGGUGAAAUUCGUAGAUAUUCGGAGGAACACAAGUGGCGAAGGCGGCUCACUGGCUCGAUACUGACGCUGAGGUGCGAAAGUGUGGGGAGCAAACAGGAUUAGAUACCCCUGUAGUC
rnacentral:rRNA from 1 species